rnacentral:rRNA from 1 species
GCAGUAGGGAAUCUUCCGCAAUGGGCGAAAGCCUGACGGAGCAACGCCGCGUGAGUGAUGAAGGUUUUCGGAUCGUAAAGCUCUGUUGCCAGGGAAGAACGUCCGGUAGAGUAACUGCUACCGGAGUGACGGUACCUGAGAAGAAAGCCCCGGCUAACUACGUGCCAGCAGCCGCGGUAAUACGUAGGGGGCAAGCGUUGUCCGGAAUUAUUGGGCGUAAAGCGCGCGCAGGCGGCUAUUUAAGUCUGGUGUUUAAACCUUGGGCUCAACCUGAGGUCGCACUGGAAACUGGGUGGCUUGAGUACAGAAGAGGAAAGUGGAAUUCCACGUGUAGCGGUGAAAUGCGUAGAGAUGUGGAGGAACACCAGUGGCGAAGGCGACUUUCUGGGCUGUAACUGACGCUGAGGCGCGAAAGCGUGGGGAGCAAACAGGAUUAGAUACCCC